CACGUAGGGGCGAGCGUUGUCCGGAUUUAUUGGGCGUAAAGAGCUCGUAGGCGGCUCGGUAAGUCAACUGUGAAAGCUCCGGGCUCAACUCGGAGAGGCCAGUUGAUACUGCUGUGGCUAGAGUCCGGUAGGGGAGCGUGGAAUUCCUGGUGUAGCGGUGAAAUGCGCAGAUAUCAGGAGGAACACCGGUGGCGAAGGCGGGUCUCUGGGCAGUAACUGACGCUGAGGAGCGAAAGCGUGGGGAGCGAACAGG
rnacentral:rRNA from 1 species